rnacentral:rRNA from 1 species
UAAUACGUAGGGUCCAAGCGUUAUCCGGAAUUACUGGGCGUAAAGCGUACGUAGGCGGGUAUUUAAGUGCAAUGUGAAAUCUUGUGGCUCAACCAUAUAGACUAUGUUGCAUACUGGAUACCUAGAGGAUGGCAGAGGCAAGUGGAAUUUCUAGUGUAGCAGUGAUAUGCGUAGAUAUUAGAAGGAACACCAAUGGCGAAGGCAGCUUGCUGGGCCACCCCUGACGCUGAGGUACGAAAGCGUGGGUAGCGAACAGGAUUAGAUACCCUGGUAGUCCACGCCGUAAACGAUGGAUGCUAUUAGUAUGGAGUAUCGACCCUCUGUGCUGAGAAGCUAACGCGAUAAGCAUCCCGCCUGGGGAGUACGAGCGCAAGCUUA